rnacentral:rRNA from 1 species
AACGAACGCUGGCGGCAUGCCUAACACAUGCAAGUCGAACGAGACCUUCGGGUCUAGUGGCGCACGGGUGCGUAACGCGUGGGAACCUGCCCUUAGGUUCGGAAUAACUCCCCGAAAGGGGUGCUAAUACCGGAUAAUGUCUUCGGACCCAAGAUUUAUCGCCUUUGGAUGGGCCCGCGUUGGAUUAGCUAGUUGGUAGGGUAAAAGCCUACCAAGGCGACGAUCCAUAGCUGGUCUGAGAGGAUGAUCAGCCACACUGGGACUGAGACACGGCCCAGACUCCUACGGGAGGCAGCAGUGGGGAAUAUUGGACAAUGGGCGAAAGCCUGAUGCAGCAAUGCCGGGUGAGUGAUGAAGGCCUUAGGGUUGUAAAGCUCUUUUACCCGGGAUGAUAAUGACAGUACCGGGAGAAUAAGCUCCGGCUAACUCCGUG